GACGGGGCCCGCACAAGCGGUGGAGCAUGUGUUUAAUUCGAAGCAACGCGAAGAACCUUUACCUAGGUCUUGACAUCCCGAUGCUAUUUCUAGAGAUGAAAGUUACUUCGGUACAUCGGUGACAGGUGGUGCAUGGUUGUCGUCAGCUCGUGUCGUGAGAUGUUGGGUUAAGUCCCGCAACGAGCGCAACCCCUAUUGUUAGUUGCCAUCAUUCAGCUGGGCACUCUAGCGAGACUGCCGGUAAUAAACCGGAGGAAGUGGGAUGACGUCAAAUCAUCAUGCCCCUUAUGACCUGGGCUACACACGUGCUACAAUGGUUGGUACAACGAGUUGCGAGUCGGUGACGGCGAGCUAAUCUCUUAAAGCCAAUCUCAGUUCGGAUUGUAGGCUGCAACUCGCCUACAUGAAGUCGGAAUCGCUAGUAAUCGCGGAUCAGCACGCCGCGGUGAAUACGUUCCCGGGCCUU
rnacentral:rRNA from 1 species